UCCACCACUAGUGGCCGAUCAUCGACCACCUCACGACCACACAUGCAUGGGUAUGUCUCGGUUCACCCCUCAAUGAUCAUUUCAAGGCCACACACACCGUUUCACCACCCUAGCACUCACGGGCGACCUCACGACCACACACACACUGUUUUGCCACCAUUGGCACCCACCGACCAUCAUACGGCCACACACUCACCCUGCUUCACUUGUAACGGCCC
rnacentral:lncRNA from 1 species